CAUUCCUUUCUAACCAUAGAACCUAUAUGCCUACUAACAAAAUUAAUCACCCGACUUUUCUCCCAAUAUUCCCUAUACUGGGGCAGGGCCAUGACCUUUUCAAUCCAACUAGGGCUAGACCAAACCCAGGUCACGACCUAGGUAUAGAAAACAGGGGCUAAGCCAGGGCACCCCAAAUGGCUCAUGCUUAGGGUGGGCCAAUCAUCAUUAGCCCAACCAUAGUCAGAAAAUUUUUAAUGAAUGAGAAAAAUAAUUUUACAAAAGAUCGAAUGUCUUUUCUUUGUAUGAAAAAAACUUUUUAUAUUGUGAUGAAUAUAUAGAGAAGAGAGGGAAUUAAAUCUCUAAUCAGAUCCUAAAUCUAAGAGCUCUACUGGAUAAUGAUUCCACCAAGCAACCAUUACACCUUUUUCAUAUUUCGGAUUCUUAGCACAAGGGCCUAGGGUAAGUGUUGUGAAAGGAGUAUGAGAUUUCCAUUUACCAUCCAAACAAAGAACUCAAAAUUGGAUUCAUGUUUCAUUAGUUCUUAUGAAAAUCAUGAUUGCAUAAUUUUUUUUCCCUUUCUUUUCUUUGGAUUCCAAGUACCCAAACAUGCCCUUGGUGAAGAAGAGGAUUGCAACAUGUGAGAUGAGGUGCUAAAUUAUGAGAGAUGAAGUGCAUCACAAGCAGAAAAAUGAGAUGAGACAGUAGAAACUGUUACUUCCUAGCUAGGAAGGGGAGGACUUGUCAGGUACAGCCAUAUGAAGACAAGAAAGAAGUUGCCAAUCAAACAUGAAAUGGGCAGGAAAGGGGUCAAACACAGUGGCAGUGUUAUUUGCAAGGGUUCAUUGCACUGUACUGUUGGCCGCUAAGCUGGUUGAUUAGCUGCAGCUACCCUGUCUGCCUGCAACAUCUGAAGUUAAAAACUAUAACUCCUCCCUUAAACAUAACUCCAAGCUAAAUAAUAGAAUUUCUGUUAGAAUCUGCAGUUAUUUAUUUCCAGAGGAUUCAUGUUAGUUUUCCACAUCCAUGUUUUAGUUGCUCUCUAUUAAAAGUAAUGAUUUUCAUUGACUGAUUAUAUGAAACUCUCGCAGGUGAUAGUUUGAUUGGUUUGGUUUGAGAUAUAACCUAAUAGCCUACGUUGUUUCAUUUACCUUGUUUUGGUGAUCUUAGAACCAAUUCUAAAACCCAGACCCAACUCCUGGUUGUAUGAUUGGAUUGGUUUUGGAUUAGAACUUGCCGGCGAAGUGGCCGUAUCACUAUAACACCCAGUCAGUUGAGCAGAAACAAUUUGUAAAAGAAAAAAAAAAAAAGAACUAUAUCUGUAGGUGAAGAACUCAAAUGCUUAGCUCUUUAUUUAUUUUUAUUAGCUUAAUUGGAUUCAAAUAAGCAUGAUUUUUUUAAAGGCUUUUAAACAGUUUGUAUUGGAUGUAUGGUACACUUCACAGGGUACCCAACAAACAACCAGUGUAUAUGGAUCAACCAUAGUACUUUGCUAUAUAUAAUGUUUUUGAAGGUGUAAUCCAUUUACUUGUAAUAUGAAAUAUGGGGUUUUGGUUUUAAAAAUAAUACUAGAAGCUUUCAUGGCGAUUAACCAUGUGAUGGAUAGAUCAAUUUGGGGAGUGGACCACAUGCAUGGCAGGAAAGAAUGUCACAGUAUUAUUGACAUUCUCUUAUUUUAAGUCUGCACCCGUUGUUGCUUUCCUUUUUAAAGUAUCUACUAUAAUAUUUCUUCUUGUGCAUUGUCUUAUACCAUUGCAGUUUCUUUUUUCUUCUGAUGCAGCGGAGCAACUGAAAGAGGCAAUUUCAGUUGUGUAAUAGUUUCUUCCUCCUUUUAGGUACCACACAGAGCAUGAGCUGCUCAGAUAUAUUCGUAGGCUACAGUCAAAAGAUCUCUCCUUGUGCCAUAACAUGAUUCCUCUGGGAUCUUGUGCAAUGAAAUUAAAUGCAGCAGUGGAGACGAUGCCUGUUACUUGGCCUGAAUUUGCAAACAUUAACCCCUUUGCACCUACUGAUCAGGCUAUGGGUUAUCAGGUAGUUACAGCCUUCUUUGUGAAAUUUCUGAUCUAAUUGGCUUUCCUAGUUCAGGAGUGAUCCCGAUAUUGAUUAUUGUGGUUGUCUUUUUUACUUGAGGAAAUGUUCAAAAACUUGGGUGAACUCAUGUUCCAUUGCUGGUUUCAACUCAUUCUUCUUGUAACCCAAUGUUGGUUGGGUCAACCAGGUCUGCUCAUCUGCUGUAUCAGUGUUGCUCACCUGGUGAGUGGGCUUCUCUAAUACAUGUGUCUGGGCAUCUACAAAGUGGCGCCAGAUUCAUGGAUUGGAAAAUGUGGCCGCAUGUGCAGUGGUUGGGCUGUCCUUGCUUGUCGAGCUAGCCAAUCUUUUAUUCAUAAUGAAAUUCAUUUGAAACAUCUUAUCAUGAAACAAAUAGGAAUGGAUUGAAUCAUCUGAAAGGGAGCACUUGCAUCUGUGUUAUCAUGUAAUUCACGAUUGGGAGAGCUGAAGAACAAAUGAGAGAUAGUUGGAGCUGGCAUAGAUAUUGAAGUACGUGAACUGCACAUCUUCCAUUGCUGAAAGGGCCUUUAAUGUGAUGCACUUAAAAGCAAAGGUUUCCGCACAGGUCAAAUGUCAUCUCCAUGAGAGUUGUUGUUUCCAUGUACAUUUUUGCUAUUCAUGUAGUUGAGAUUUUAUACUUCUGUCGUUUUCAAUGGGGCCAUCAUCUUUGUCAUUUUCGUCAUCCAUAGUUUUGAUACUCAGUGAGUCGACUUGAAACCUGGGCAAUCCAACUCAACUCGACGAGAUUUUGAGCCGAAUCUUCUCUUGUAAACUCACUCAAAACUUACAAUGGUGGUUUGUUGGGAGUUGACAAGAUUCAUCGAGUCGGCCCCAAAACUAGGUCAAUACUACAACUAGGCAUGACUUGAUCGAAUCACUCGCCCAAUCUUAAAUGGUGGGAAGGUAAAAAAUGAGGAAGAAAGGCCUGGAGUGAGGUAUGUUGAUGACAUUGAUUCCUGUUCAACCUGGCACUGGCACCCAUCUGAAGCGAAGUUUCUCUCUUUCUCCUCAGAUGGAGCUUGUCUAUACUCCGGUGGGAAGGAAGGAGUUCUUGUGGUUUGGCAGCUUGACGCAGGGUUUUUGCCACAUAUAUGAUCCCCACUUCUAUAUUUUACGCAUUCUGCGGAUCCUUCCAUUUCCUCCGCAUUUAUCAUAGAAGGUCAUCAAAUAAGUUUCCUGCUAGCUAGACAAAUAGGAGAGGCCUAGCCAAUCAGAGCUAACUAAGUCAGCUGUUGCAAGCCCAAUGACACCAGACCUUGGUUUUUCAAGUGUGUUUCCUUGUAGUACUUUGUCUACAUGCUAAUGUUAUGUAACAGUUUGCUGCAUUAUAGCUUGUUUUGAAAACUUUAAAUAGACAGGAAACUUU